GUUCUGGAAUAGAGGCUCAUCUAAAACAUGCAGAGCAGCGGGGCGGUGAGGACUGGAAUUGAGAAGCACUGGUCUAAACACAUCAGAAUGAUGAAGAUUAACAGUUUUAGUAGUUUGAAACUAGAAUCCAGAACUGUGAAACUUAAAGUUCUCAGUUUUUUGAAUCUUUUGCUGAGAUAAAGCUGUUUUGGCCCUCUCAGUUGCAACUCUCCUGAAACACAACAUUUUGACUUGGUUCUAGUUGCAAAGCACUAGAACAGGGACAUGCAGAGGGGGAUCAGAGGGGUCUUGAGCCCCUGCCCCUUUUAUCCUUUAUGGUCCUAUUGCCCUUUUUGAUUUUUUUUUUUUGUCAAGUUUUUUUUUUUUUUUUUUUUUAGUUGUGGGUCAGGGAGCCUCUUAGUGCCCCUCAACAAUAAUAUUUAGCUAAAUAUAAUUUUGCAAGAUAAAUUAGUCUGGCUGCCCUCAGUCUAAUGAUGACCCAGUCUAAUAAUGAGGAUUUUCAGUUUCUCUGCCUCCAUGUUUUUCAGACACCAGGCCCAAGGUGGGGAGGAGGGGGGCGGAUCUGCGUCCUCCAACUAUGGACAAGAUUUUUUUUGACAAAAUAAACAUAUAGGUCUGAUGUUGAAGUUAGAAAAACCGUUUAUUUUUCGUAAUAAGAAAUAUGAAAAAUAGUCAAAGACCAUCUUCGCAAUACACAGGCCAUACUUUUUCCAGCCCCUGAAACAGAAGCAAACACUGUACGUUCAGCCCCAUAGGUCAGUAUGUGCCUAGGUUGGCAAUCCAAAGCAAGGCCGCCUUUGUUUUCUGGCCCCUGGUCCAGUUUGGAUUUUGUUCCAGGACCAUGACCCUCGCUGAGCCCCAGCUGUGCUGGAUGUAAUGCGAGCUCAGCAAGGCAUAGGCCUUCCUCACCAUCCUCCGGGACACAUCUCACUCGUGUAAAACCAGUCGCGCCAGCAUUGUAUUUGCCGUAUGACCCACAAAUCUGUUUCUGCAAACCGGGCAACUAAUUAAAUAAACACAAUUUUGUCUUUGUGGGCCCCCGCCAGGUGGGACUAAAUAAACUUUGUGGGUACAAUGAUGUAGCAGCCAUUUUUGGUGUCUGAAGCAUUGCCCCUGCCCAAUUGCACUCUGCUCCAUCUGAAAUCUGAUUUUGGCAUGAACGUGAUGGUCCCUCAGGUUCCUGUUUGGUCAGAAAGCAGGUAUGACCCUCCUAUUGGUCAGCCUUCCACUAAGAGACUGGAAUCCUACAAAAAAAUUUCUCAUAACCUUGGUCCAGAUUGACGUUAGCAGGUGAGUAGGUGCUGAUAAAAGGAAGUGACAUGGUUCGAUCUGGCUGCUUGGAUUCAGAAAAGGUCCUCAAACACCUCCUUAAGAACCUCUGAUACCCCCUGCUGGACAAAGCUAUGAACAGAACCCUAACUGCUUCAUAAAAAUCUGAUUUUUAUGAAACCAUGCUGUGUGUCCGGUAUAAAAAUCAGAGUUAAAUCGAGUUAAAUUGAGACUUCUGUGAGUAUUUGUGCAAGAUUAUGUGUGAAGUGUCAAACAGAAUUAUUGAGGAACCCCCAUCAACCUUUUAUUCUCAAAAGAUGAAUAAGGAAUUGAAAGUAGUCUGAUUUAAAGUUAAUUAAACCUUUAUUUCUAAAAGAACACCAGAAUCUGGUUUUAAACCGAGUUAAAUCCACCUUUUAUCUUCUAUUCUUUACCUUUACUAUUUCGUUUUUUAGUGAUGCCAAAAGAAGCUAUAUAACUAAUCUGAGCCCGGAGAAGACUUACCCAGUGUUAGCUGCAACGGUUCAGCUGUAGCCUCACGUGUUCUCUGUGAUCAAAAUGGCAGCAUGCAGCUGUAGUACAUAGUAAAGAAGGAACCGUAAUGCACUCUGGGGAAGUCCAGCAGCCAUAUAGUCCAAACCUGAUUGUCCGUUCAGGUUCUUUGCCGAUCUCUAACUUGUUUCAAAGCUUGUUUUAAUGCAUCUAGGUCGAAAGAGGAGCUCAUGCUGAUUUUCAACAGUAUAUAGUUUGUCAGAUGUUAAGACUCCUGUCCCCAAAAUGCAAUAAACAGCCAGUAUAAAAUCAAUUAGCAAAUUUUGUUUUUACACAAAUAAGGUGUGCAUUUUCAGAAAGUAACCCAAAAACAAAACAAAGUAAAUGGGGGAAAAAAAUCUUAGCCUGCCCUCACAAACACUAAGGCAAGACAAAUAAUCCAAAACUUGGUGGACUAAAAAAGGAAAUCAAAUUCAAGAGACAGCAGGAGCAGUGAUAUAACUGCAUCAGAUAAACCCACGUUCUCUGGUUUACCACACCAACUCUAAAGUCACCCUUGAUGUGGUAGAUCUGAUGCAGCCCUGCGGCAUCGAGUAACCACAUCCCCAGGUAACGCAACCCCAAAACGUCAUUAAUAGGAGGGCCCAGGCAGCAAACAGUGGCGCAGCACACACCUGGUCACACAGGAAAUUGACACUUUGCCACCAUCCUUCCAGCUUCCCUUUUAAGGAAGCUCAAGCCGUGGAGGGAGUGACACCUGGUGGUUCCUUAGAGCGAAGACCUAAAGCUGAGCAGGGUGUGUGCAUUUCAUCUCGGGGUAGCCAUGUUUGUUUGGUGAUGUCUUUAAUGUAUUUAUCUCCUUUAGCUCCACAGACAAUGCUCUGAGGCCCAAAAGGUGGAGGCGAAGCUGUGAGGGAUACACAGACCUGGGCACUUUUCUCAAGUCUUUUAGGAUAACCCUGAAUGAUGUGCCGCCUCCUAAAAAGAAAGUGGAGGCCGGAUUCCGCCCUGACAAGUAGCCUCCUUGACAAGUUGCAGUUAAUUCAGUUUAAGACAAGGCGGUACCACCUGAUUGAGUUUUUUUUUUUCUUUUCCUCCUCUUACUGACCCUACCAUACCAGGUUCUGAUGCAGGGCAUGUUAUAUUCAGGUCUAACCGCAUGCAUGGGUAGUUUCUGUCUCCUGGCUAAAUGGAGCCGGUAGAAGCUGGAGAGCUUCAUUGCAAAGUCCAACUGAGCUGGGAACUCUAACACUGCAGAGGAGGUCCUGGAGAUCUGCACAGCGCUAUCCACCGCACCCCAAAAGCCAGCCAGGACUUUAUGUGCCACAUCCAGGACCAGAGGUGAAUGGGACUUGUCAUUUCGGAGAGCAAGAACACUGUCAGCAGAAGAGGACUUUCAUCAAGGGGUCCAUCGCAUGUGACUACCAUGGAAUAUUCACUAUUGCUGCCGAGGCUGGCAGCUUGCAGGGUCCCUGAAGGCAGGACAAGAUGCAUAGAUUUACUUUUUCAAGUCUGGGGACCAUGGACUUCUGCAUAAACUCUCAAGUCCACCUGUGUGACAGUCAUCCGCAGCUCGCCAUCUUUGGCUGACCAAUAAACCGUUCUGCCAACAUCAUCAACACCAAAUGUCUGUUAGUGAAGUUCCCAGGCCUGGCAGACCCAUUUCUCCUAAUAAAAACAAGAGACAUCAAGCUGGGAGAGGAAAUCUACGUGGACCAUGGGGUGAGGCAGCACUCGUUUAGGGUUGGAAGGCCAGGGGAUGAUCUUAGCUGGAUGGGUGAGGUUGGCUCACCUCCCAAGAGAAAUAAUUUAGUCUUAUGUUGACAAUGUUCUAUUCAAUAAAAUUUGAAGUUUUAGUUUUGUAAUUGCUCUUUUCUGUGUACUCCAAAGUUCAGUAUGACUUUAAAUUGUGUUGUUGCAAUUAAAGUUUUUGUUUUGUCUUGUG